rnacentral:rRNA from 1 species
UGAACGCUGGCGGCGUGCCUAACACAUGCAAGUCGUACGAGAAAUCCCGAGCUUGCUUGGGAGAGUAAAGUGGCGCACGGGUGAGUAACGCGUGGGUAACCUACCCUCGAAUAGGGGAUAACUCCGCGAAAGCGGAGCUAAUACCGCAUAAGACCACAGCCGCUUCGGCGGCAGAGGUUAAAGCUGACCUCUCCAUGGAAGUUAGCGUUCGAGGACGGGCCCGCGUCCUAUCAGCUUGUUGGUAGGGUAAUGGCCUACCAAGGCAGCGACGGGUAGCUGGUCUGAGAGGAUGAUCAGCCACACUGGAACUGGAACACGGUCCAGACUCCUACGGGAGGCAGCAGUGAGGAAUUUUGCGCAAUGGGCGAAAGCCUGACGCAGCAACGCCGCGUGGGUGAAGAAGGCCUUCGGGUCGUAAAGCCCUGUCAGGUGGGAAGAACCUUUUUCGAUACUAAUAAUGUCGGAAUCUGACGGUACCACCAGAGGAAGCACCGGCCAACUCCGUG